UACGGGGGGGGCAAGCGUUGUUCGGAAUUACUGGGCGUAAGGGGCUCGUAGGGGGCCAACUAAGUCAGAGUUGAAAUCCCUCAGCUUAACUGGGGAACUGCGUCUGAUACUGGAUGGCUUGGAUUCGGGAGAGGAAUGCGGAAUUCCAGGUGUAGCGGUGAAAUGCGUAGAUAUCUGGAGGAACACCGGUGGCGAAGGCGGCAUUCUGGACCGAUAUUGACGCUGAGGAGCGAAAGCCAGGGGAGCAAACGGG
rnacentral:rRNA from 1 species